CAGUCAACAAAAGAGAGGUCAGAGGAGAGGGAUGAGGGUAUAACGAAAGAGAGGAAGAGGAGGAAGAGCAAAACCUUGGAAGCAGUGGAAAGACUAGAGAAACAUCAAGUUUGGAAAACCAUUGGCAUUCUCGCUCUUGAGGAGAUCUGUGUUCUUAUUGGAGGAGAGAAGUAAGAGGUCAGAGGUGAAGGGGAAGUGUUAUGUGUGAGAAACUCAGCAUGCUGAAUCUACAGAACACCUCCAGCUGGACUGGGCCAAACAACUGAUGGCUGUGUGGUGGAUGACGUGGGCGUGCGGAUGGUGGG